rnacentral:misc_RNA from 1 species
GGCCACUACAAUAGACCUGCUUAGGUCAUGGAAAUGUCUUUUUAUUAAGGAAAAUUAGACACUACAACGGAUUGAUACCAUAUAAAUCGAGCUACUAGGACUUAAAUAUUUGAUUAACUUAAUCAAAGAGUUGAAACGUGAGUAUCUUGAAUAGCUAAUCAAGACUGAAUAUUUAGAGUACUUCUAAUUGAUGCUUUUGGAAAAGCCUGCUAUAAAAGGUCCAAAACAGCUACUGAAAAAGUCAACUGGAAAUAUCAUCUAUACUCGCCGAUUUCUGCUUUCUUCUUGAUUGCUCUUUGACCAUGA